UAAGGAAUAUUGGUCAAUGGACGCAAGUCUGAACCAGCCAUGCCGCGUGAAGGAUGAAGGUCCUCUGGAUUGUAAACUUCUUUUAUCUGGGACGAAAACGGGAUUUGUAUCUCAAUUGACGGUACCAGAGGAAUAAGCACCGGCUAACUACGUGCCAGCAGCCGCGGUAAUACGGAGGGUGUGAGCGUUAUCCGGAUUAAAUGGGGUUAAAGGGUGCGUAGGUGGGCUUAUAAGUCAGUGGUGAAAUCUCCGAGCUUAACUUGGAAACUCCCGUUGAUACUAUAGGUCCUGAAUUAUCUGGAGGUAAGCGGAAUAUGUCAUGUAGCGGUGAAAUGCUUAGAUAUGACAUAGAACACCAAUUGCGAAGGCAGCUUACUACAUAUAA
rnacentral:rRNA from 1 species